CCACGGAAGGUUCUGGAAGGGGACAGAAGGACACAGAAGGCUCAGGAAGGGCAUGGAAGGUUCUGGAAGGGGACGAAGGGACAGAAGGACACAGAGAGCUCAGGAAGGGCAUGGAAGGUUCUGGAAGGGGACGAAGGGACAGAAGGACACAGAGGGCUCAGGAAGGGACAGAAGGCUCAGGAAGGGCACGGAAGGUUCUGGAAGGGGACAGAGGGACAGAAGGACACAGAGGGCUCAGGAAGGGCAUGGAAGGUUCUGGAAGGGGACGAAGGGACAGAAGGACACAGAGGGCUCAGGAAGGGACAGAAGGCUCAGGAAGGGCACGGAAGGUUCCGGAAGGGGACAAAGGGACAGAAGGACACAGAGGGCUCAGGAAGGCCGCGGAAGG